ACCAGGAUGGCCAAGUGGUUAAGGCAUUGGACUUAAGAUCCAAUGGGCUGCAGCCCUCGAGGGUUUGAACCCCACUCCUGAUA